AUCUCAUCUGCCAGUUUAUCCAAAUCCCUCUGUAGAGAAGUUAUAUCAUGUUCAGACUGUAUUUUCUUACUUAGUUAUGUGUCAUCUUGUAACAUAAACCUGCGAUUAAUGGAUAUCCUCUGAUUCUUCCUCUGCAUAUUUCAACCGAUAAAGCUCCCACAUCCUCACCUGUACCAUCACAGACAAUUUCUUUAACACUGGCUUCAAAUCAGGUUUCAUGUAAAGAUAUCG